GAUUUCAAUUGAAAAAGUCAUCAACAACAAAGUUGAAUAACUCAUCAAGAUCUAAAACUUUUAUUUUUGUUAUUUCUUCAUCCGACGAAAUGUUAGUAAUAUUAUUCAUAAAUUUUACAUAUAUGUGUUAUAGUUUUAUAAAACCAGAUAAGAGAUAUGUCAAUUUUGUGAACAAUGUUACUAUCACUUUGUCGUAUGAAGAAAUGACCAAAAUAAAAGUUUUAGAUCUUGAUGAGUUAUUCAACUUUGUUGUUGAUGACUUUUUCAGUUGAAGUC
rnacentral:pre_miRNA from 1 species